UACGGAGGGUGCAAACGUUGCUCGGAAUCAUUGGGCGUAAAGCGCACGUAGGCGGUCCAGUAAGUCGGGUGUGAAAGCCCUGGGCUUAACCCAGGAAGUGCAAACGAAACUGCUAGACUUGAGUACUGAAGAGGGUCGCGGAAUUCCUGGUGUAGAGGUGAAAUUCGUAGAUAUCAGGAGGAACACCGGCGGCGAAGGCGGCUUCCUGGCUCAUUACUGACGUUCAGGUACGAAAGCGUGGGUAGCAAACAGG
rnacentral:rRNA from 1 species